GGUGACAAGGCGAAAGGCGCCUGUGCGCCACACUGGGGUCCCCGGGGGGACGGCGGUGAGCUCAGGUGCCCCCUGUCCCCGCAGGGCUGGCCCCGCUCAAGGCCCAGGACGGCAAGUCGUACACGUCCAUCCUGUAUGGCAAUGGCCCCGGCUACGUGCAGAACUCUACGUGCAACCGACCAGACGUCACGGAGGAUGAGAUCCGUGCCCGCACCUACAAGCAGCAGGCAGCUGUGCCUCUGUCAUCGGAGACGCACGGAGGCGAGGACGUGGCGGUGUUCGCUCGUGGCCCGAAGGCGCACCUGGUGCACGGGGUGCAGGAGCAGAACUACAUCGCGCACGUCAUGGCCUUCGCCGCCUGCCUGGAGCCCUAUGAGGCCUGCGACCUGGCCUCCCCGACCCUCCAGAGCACCCCUGGGGGUUCCAGCUCUGCUGCAGCCUCAUUGUCGCUGACGCUGCUGCUUGAGACGCUGCUGCUGCUGCUGUGGGCAUUCGCCCAGCCCUGACCACAGGAUCUCAGGGUGCUCCACUGUGCUCCUGAUUGUCCCUGGUUUCACCUCAGGUCCCCACCACUGGCUCCUGCUUCCAGUGCCUGGUGCUUCCUGUGCCUCUAUGUGGGGACUCCAGCCCAGUGCCACACUCCAAGCUGUCACCUCCAGAACCACCACAGGGCUUUUCCCAUGGUGCCUUCACCUCUGGGAGAAGCAGCCUCAGGAUGCUCAGCACUUCUAAACUAGAUGUCCCUUGCAGAGGGACCAUAGUGCUUCCCAGAGGCUAAUACCAUGACACUCACAUCUCUCCAGGUUGCUCUGGGACUCUGCUUCCUGACUUCAACUGCCUACGCUCCAGAGAAGCAGAGGAUGCAGAAGGGCCACUCCACAGAACCUGCAGCCUUGGGGAAUACCAUGAAGGCACUUUUCCAGAGGCGUCCCCACCAAGCCACUACUGGCCUUGACCCUGUAGUGCUGUUCAGCUUCAGUCUCUACAGCAUCGUAGGUCCCCUAGACCUCCAGCAUGUGGACAGUGCUGAAAGAGGUGGGCAUCCUACCACCCUCCCACUGACCCUGCAACUGACCCUGCCAGCCAAGGAGGGCUUGGGUGUGGAGCUUCCCAGCAGGCUGUGGCAUAUCCUCAGCUACCCUUCACUGCCCCACUUACACACUCUGCACUCUUCAGAGGUGCCAAUAGUAGCAGUGCACACACAGGAAGCCCAAGUCACUGGGCUCCUCAGUGCUGGCCCCCUAACACCAGGCAAGGAUGUCCCAGGCAAACAUUCCCAAGGAGACACCCAGGAAGCUGUGGGGUUUAGAGCAGCAGAUCAGGGCAGCCUUCAGUCCCCUCCCCAGACCAUCUAGGCUCUGGGCAUAGAUUACGGAACAAAGAAGUUCCUUUGCCCCUCUGGGGCCACCAUUUUCCUGGAGAAAAAGCAAUAAACUAUGAUACAAUGUACUCCCAGUAA